UGGUGGAGUGAUUUGUCUGGUUAAUUCCGUUAACGAACGAGACCUCAGCCUACUAAAUAGUGACGCGAUCCUCACGGAUCGUGGGACACUUCUUAGAGGGACAUUUCGGUUUUACCGGAAGGAAGUUUGAGGCAAUAACA
rnacentral:rRNA from 1 species